rnacentral:lncRNA from 10 species
CACACACUCUCUCUUUCUCAUUCUCCUUUCCCUCCUCUCCAUCUCCCUAUUGCAUUGUGUCUGACUGAUUUUCAGAGCACCUUCGCUGUUUCCCCCUUCUCGUUCCCUUCUCAUAAAAUAUCUAGACAGGAAGGAGGUGGCUGCAGAGGCUGAACAAUCUCAUAUUCUGCCUGCAAUGUCAUCGUUUCUUUCCCCCAUUUUAGGGGGCUGAAGUUGCCCAGCAAGGGAUGCAGAGGAGCUGGAAAAGAAGGGGGGAGCUCUCCAGAGGCAGCUGCGGUCAGGGGCAGGGACUGCCGCCAGAUGUGCCUGCCUUUCUGGGCUUUGAUGAGAAAGGGGCAGCAGGAGGAAAUAUUGGGAGACAAAAGCCCCGGUUUAAAUGAUCAUUUUCUUUAUUUAACAUGGCAGCAGACACUCUCUGCGUAGGAUCAUCAUGCCGAGCAUAAACUGGACUUUCCCACUUGCCUGGCAGGAGUCACACAGAUCCCUGCGUGCUAAAUGAACAUCUGAGACCCUUGAAUCCUGACUAUUGGAGAAACAGCACCAUAUUUUGGAUACUGAUUCAGACCAUAUACAGCCUUCUGGAGAAUCUUGCCCCAGUCCUGAAAGGUAUUUCUAUUCAUCUAGUUGGUGCUAUAACUGAGUCUUCAAAAGACAAUUCCACUGUUCUAUCAAGAAAGCUGCUUCAGGAUGGUGGGAAAUAUGGUUUUGGUAUCAGGAUGAUGCUGGCAUCAUAAAAUGAGUAUUUUUCUUCAGACUUCAGACUGCUGUGCUGGAAGCAAGAAUUUCAAGCAUUGGAUCUUAGCUUGCUGGGCUCCAUAGGGGUGGGAUCCACUGAGCUAGACCACUUGGCUCCCUGGCUUCAGCCCCCUUCCAGAUGUCCUUGGCGUGUACACCCUGUGGAAUCUGGUUCAUCUUCAAUCUGUCAGAAGGCAUCAGAGGUGGUUUUGACUCCUUAUGUCUUGGACCUGUGCACAAAAAGUACGGGCAGGAGAGGAUGCAGGAGACUGUACAAAGUUCAAGAAACGAUAUGCUUUAAUCAAGGUAAAAUGGAUGGAACAUCAGACAGCUCAUUAUAGAGACAAGUAAGCUCCAGUUCCAAAGUUGGUUGACAGAACAAGUCAUGACCUUGUGUGGAGGAAAAUGAGAUCCCGAGUGAAGUCUACAAUGUCAUUGACUCUGAAGAAGGACUCAGAGACCCAUUGGUGUUUAAUGACCCUUACUGGCCUAUGCAAUGGAAACUGAUCUUGAGUGUGCCUUAAAAUUCCAUUUCAUGGAGAACUGUGCGUGGUUGAAUUUUGAUUGAUUACUCAAUUAACUGAUGUAUUGGUAGAGUGAUUAAGAAAGAAGACUUUGGGAUCAGACCAACCUGGUUUUGAAUUCAAGCUCAGCAACUUACUAGGUAAGGAGGAGAAAAGAAAGAAGGAAAAAUUGGAAAGAUAAAUGGGGUCUUUCCAGUGAAGGCUCAAUUUUCCUACAUAAUUAAGAGUUUGGAAUUCGGGCAAUAUCAAGAACCACAUCUGUCCUGAAAUCAAUUAUCUCUGUUUGGAAUAUGGAUAUGAGAGAUCACUUUGCUGUGCUGUAAAUGAUCGAUUAAAAUACAUAUUUCU